rnacentral:rRNA from 1 species
CCUACGGGAGGCAGCAGUGGGGAAUAUUGCGCAAUGGGCGAAAGCCUGACGCAGCGACGCCGCGUGAGGGAUGAAGGUCUUCUGAUCGUAAACCUCUGUCAGCAGGGAAGAACGGUCCCUUUGCUGAUCAGCAUUGAAUUGACGGUACCUGCAAAGGAAGCACCGGCUAACUCCGUGCCAGCAGCCGCGGUAAUACGGAGGGUGCGAGUGUUAAUCGGAAUUACUGGGCGUAAAGCGCUCGUAGGCGGUAUGUCAAGUCAAGGGUGAAAUCCCCGCGCUCAACGUGGGAACUGCCUUUGAAACUGGCAAACUGGAGUGUGUGAGAGGAUAGUGGAAUGUAAGGUGUAGCAGUGAAAUCCAUAGAUAUC